rnacentral:lncRNA from 1 species
UAAAGCAUUACUCAGAUGCAUAUGUUGUGACCGAUCAUGCAUCCUCUUGAAGAUAAGCAAUGCGUGCCUUCUUAGAUGCAUUGGUACUUGGUGAGAUAUCAAACACCUGAAACAAAAAAAAAGUUGAUAGCAGCAAAGAUGAACCAAUUUACCAAGAAACUGAAACAAUUAACAUAGAUAUGUAGCUAAUAUAUACAGAUCUCUAGAAUAAGCCAUAAAAACGCAUCCCAAAGUAAAAAACAGGUUAAGAUACCCAUAAAAGACACCAUUCUUGAGACUGAAAAAAGAAGCUAAUUUGCAGCUUCUCUACUCUUGGCCUCUCCAGGAGAGUUAUGAGAAAUUUUCUCGAAAUUACUUUAGUGUUAGGGAUAGCAUGUCGAGGAUUCAGCUCAUGUAGGUGCAACACUUGAACCAAAAUAAAAUACCUUCACAAUACCAAUUUUGAGUAUCGUGUUCUUAGCAAUAGCAACUAACAACCUUUUGUUGACUCCUUAGCAAUAGCUCCGGUUAAAGAGGAGAAACCGGUUGAAGCUCCGGCAGCUGUGGAGGAGAAGCCAGCGGCAGAAGAGGAGAUGACUGUUGAAGUCAAGACAGCCUGAGAUGCUUGUCUU